AACAACCUUCAGUCACAACUGAGAAGGUCACAUGGUGCAUCACUGCCGCUCAGUCUCCCCAAGCCCAGUGAUUUCUUCACAAUUAGGGAUCUGAGACCCGCAGUAUGGCAGUGACAAGAUCCAAGUCUUGGGACACCUAGCCAGGAGGGAAGAAUUUGAGGGAGAGGUGGAAAAUAUGCGAGGCUGAACUGACCUUCAAGGACAAGAAGGCUGUGUUCAGAUAGACAGAGUUUGUCUUCUGGGAGAGGAGUGGGCUUAUCCAGGAUGAUCCCAAAGGCAGAUUGAGGACCAGUGGGAGGACAUCCUGAGAAAGCAGAUCCAGCUUUAGGCAAGGAAGGACUUCGUAACAGGCAGAGAGCCCAUGUUGGAAACAAGCAGCUCUGCAAGGUGUGGGCCCACUGUCUGACUCCCUGCGGGGCUGCUGCCUUGGAAGAGCCUCCUGCUUAGAGAGGUUCUCCUGCCGCCAGCUGUCUCUCCUGAGUCCUGAGCACCACAUCUCUGGACCGUCUGGAGCCUCCCCUCCCUUGGCUUACUGCUCCCACCACCCUCUCUCUCCACCUUGCAAGAGACACUCUCCCUCAUCCUGGGUCAUCACCCUCUUUAGAGGCGCCGCCUGGCCACGAGGCAUCAGAUGGAGUGCAGCCGGGAGCAAGAUUCUCAUAGCAAUUACAAAGAUUCACAAGAAAAUGUGCCCUCCACUACACAGCUGUAAUUUACAUGCUUUCAAACUUGAUAUGGAAUGACUGUGGUUUCCCCUGAAAGAAGCAUCACUGAUCUCUGCACAGGAGAAACAAGGGUGUGUUAGGAGUUACAUCCACUAACCUCUGGGGCUAGAAUGUUCCUCCUAAUCCCGGAUUACCAGCUUACAACCCCAAUGCCCACUUUCUCAAACAAGCCUCGUCUUUUUAAAGACAGGAUCUUGCUCUGUCACCUAGGCUGGAGUGCAAUGGCACACUCACGGCUCACUGCAGCGUCAAACUCCCAGGCUCAAGUGUUCCUCCUACCUCAGCCUCCUGAGUAGCUAGGACCACAGCACAGGCCCAGACACAAAGCAGAUGUGCAGUGGAGUGUGAAAGAGGCAGCCAACUCACUGGGGAGCUUCAGAGGGAGAUGGCCCAAAUUGCUGGGGCCUAAGAAUCUCCCGGAAUGAAGGAACAGUAGAAAGAACUGGAAGCCAAAUAUGGUGAUAGAGACUCUCAUCAAGGACACUGAGUAAACCAGAAACCUGCUUGGGCUCACGUUCCUUGUCUCUUCUUCUCAGAUCCAGGAAAGGAGCUGUCCAGGACAAUGAGGAUAGGCUGAGGAAAGACAGGCCACGGCCUUGCCUCUGUGCCAGCUCUCAUGGGCCAGGCAGAGUAUCCCAGGACAACUGCCUCCACAACCAGCUCCAUCCUUCAUCAGCAAUUCAGUACCUGAUUAACAAAUCUGUACCCCAGGAGGUUAUGCCAAGUCCAACUUCUUCCAGAGACCACAACAAUAAAUCCAAGCCACUGCUAAUGUCAUUUAUAAGCUGUGGGAUUAAAACAGAGAAGCAAUCAAUUAAUUAAAAUUAGCUCUUUAUUGAAACUAUAA
ensembl:lncRNA novel transcript